AUUUAUGUCUUGAUCUAUGCAUCCUGCAUUUCUGUGCGGGUCAUCAUACGUGGUGAACACCAGACUUGUGCAGUCCUGUCUCCUGCCAGCCCCUUGCAGUUGGAGCUGGCCAAGAACCGUCUCCAGAGUCAUUGCCUCCUAGUACCUCCUCUGGGGGAAAUGCUGAUGGCAGGAGGAGCACGUUUCUCCGGGGUGUAGAGUUAGAGACGGAGACAGAGGCAGAGACGUAAACCAGGCCACAGCGACGGUGAACUGCCACACCUCAGCGAUAGGUGCUGUUCUGCCUCAGAUAUCUGAAGUAAUUGAACAAAAAAAGCUCCAACCAUCUCAAAAGGAAUUGAUUUCCAAUAAAAUUUUACUUUUUGUGUUUUAAAUUAUUUA